UUUUUGGUGGUCCAUUGGCUAAGACUCCUCAUUCCCAAUGCAGGAGGCCCAGGUUCAAUCCCUGGUUAGGAAA
rnacentral:tRNA from 1 species